rnacentral:pre_miRNA from 1 species
UGUUAAAAUUUUUAUCUAUUUAUAUUAUUAAAAAUUGAUGUCAUUGAUAGAAUACCCAUACAAUAAUAUGUGAUAUGGCAUAUACAUCUCAUACCGAUGUAUAGUAACGGAUCUUUAACAGUAAAAAUGAAUAAAAAUUUUAAAA